GACGAACGCUGGCGGCGUGCUUAACACAUGCAAGUCGAACGGUAAGGCUCCAGCUUGCUGGGGUACACGAGUGGCGAACGGGUGAGUAACACGUGGGUGACCUGCCCUGCACUUCGGGAUAAGCCUGGGAAACUGGGUCUAAUACCGGAUAGGACCAUGGUGUGGAUACUGUGGUGGAAAGUUUUUUCGGUGUGGGAUGGGCCCGCGGCCUAUCAGCUUGUUGGUGGGGUAAUGGCCUACCAAGGCGGCGACGGGUAGCCGGCCUGAGAGGGUGGACGGCCACAUUGGGACUGAGACACGGCCCAGACUCCUACGGGAGGCAGCAGUGGGGAAUAUUGCACAAUGGGCGGAAGCCUGAUGCAGCGACGCCGCGUGGGGGAUGACGGCCUUCGGGUUGUAAACUCCUUUCACCAUCGACGAAGGGCUUCUGACGGUAGAUGGAGAAGAAGCACCGGCUAACUACGUG
rnacentral:rRNA from 1 species